UCAAAUAAGGCACCUAUUUUUUUACUAGCCGAGAAAAAGUUCGACUCGCAUUGAACUUCGCUCCUAAAUGAAUUGGAACGUGACGAAAAUUAAAAGUACAGUAGUGGAAUUACCUCUUUAAAAAAUGCAUAAACUCGGACUCAUUCAGUACUAAGUAUAGUUAUGUACCAACUCGCAUUUACGUGGAAGUGUUGAUUAAUCUUUUAAAAAACAAUCGAAUAAUUCAACAAAACAUGAAAAUAGCACAAUUGUCAUUCAUUCAUAUUUUCGCAUUCGUCCUGUUGAUUGAACUACUCGACAAUGUAGUCGAAUCCGGAAAAAUCGCGAACUGUUAUGAUGCGCUCGAGCAGUAUAUAAGUCAAGAUGCCUGUUGGUUGUGGUGCCCGAGAUAUUGCAUACCUUCAUGUAACUUUUAUGAAUGCUCAUUUGAUGGGUCUUGUUUAUGUGAUAUAGAACGUUGGAGGGAAUACCAUAAUUAUGGAUGAGUGGGAGGAACAGGAGGAGGAGAAGGAGGAGGAGGAGGAGGAGGAGGAGAUCCAUCAUUGGUGAAAAGAUGAAACCUUCGGAUUGAAAUAUGCACGUGGUGUUUUGUUUAAUUCAAAAUAAACGAUUGAUGAAAUUAAAA